GGGUUGUGAGGUUAAGCGACUAAGCGUACACGGUGGAUGCCCUGGCAGUCAGAGGCGAUGAAGGGCGUGCUAAUCUGCGAUAAGCGCCGGUAAGGUGAUAUGAACCGUUAUAACCGGCGAUACCCGAAUG
rnacentral:rRNA from 6 species